AUGGAAGUUACAUGGAUAACCGUGGUAAUUCUAGAGCUAAUACAUGCUAUCUGCCCGACUUCUGGAAGGGCUGUAUUUAUUAGAUACUAAACCAAUGCAGCCAAUGCAUUGUGGUGAAUCACAGUAACUGAUCGAAUCGGCGCGCAAGCGGCGAUAAAUCAUUCAAGUUUCUGCCCUAUCAGCUUUCGAUGGUAGUGUAUUGGACUACCAUGGCAGUCACGGGUAACGGAGAAUUAGGGUUCGGUUCCGGAGAGGGAGCCUGAGAAACGGCUACCACAUCUAAGGAUGGCAGCAGGCGCGUAAAUUACCCAAUCCUGACUCAGGGAGGUAGUGACAAGAAAUAACAACCUGGGAGCUUUUAGCUCUACGGGAUUGCAAUGAGAACAAUUUAGAUCACUUAGCGAGGAACAAUUGGAGGGCAAGUCUGGUGCCAGCAGCCGCGGUAAUUCCAGCUCCAAUAGCGUAUAUUAAAGUUGUUGCAGUUAAAAAGCUCGUAGUUGAAUGUCUGGAUGCCGGAUGCGUUCGGCUUCGGUCGUGCAGUCGGCGUUCAUCCGCAUACGAAACCAGUUCGGCCUUUACUGGUGCGGCUGGGGGAGUGUGCAUUUUACUUUGAAAAAAUUAGAGUGUUUCAGGCAGGCAAUGGCUUGAAUACAUUAGCAUGGAAUAAUGGAAUAUGACCAUGGUCAAUUUUUGUUGGUUAUUUGACUUUGGUAAUGAUUAACAGGAACAGUUGGGGGCAUUAGUAUUUAAUCGUCAGAGGUGAAAUUCUUGGAUUUAUUAAAGACUAACUUAUGCGAAAGCAUUUGCCAAGGAUGUUUUCAUUAAUCAAGAACGAAAGUUAGGGGAUCAAAGACGAUCAGAUACCGUCCUAGUCUUAACUAUAAACUAUACCGACUCGGGAUCGGGUGGGAUUGAUAAAGCCUGCUCGGCACCGUAGGAGAAAUCAAAGUCUUUGGGUUCUGGGGGGGAGUAUGGUCGCAAGGCUG
rnacentral:rRNA from 1 species